UACGAGGGGAGCUAGCGUUGUUCGGAAUUACUGGGCGUAAAGGGCGUGUAGGCGGUACCAUAAGUCAGAUGUGAAAGCCCUAGGUCUUAACCUAGGAGGUGCAUUUGAUACUGUGGAACUAGAGAUCGAGAGAGGAAAGUGGAAUUACGAGUGUAGAGGUGAAAUUCGUAGAUAUUCGUAAGAACACCAGUGGCGAAGGCGACUUUCUGGCUCGAUACUGACGCUAAGGCGCGAAAGCGUGGGGAGCAAACAGGAUUAGAAACCCCAGUAGU
rnacentral:rRNA from 1 species